ACGCCCCAGGUGUCCGCAGCAGCAGCAGCGCGUUGGGGCUGCGUCUCUGCGCACUGGCUGGCUCUGGGCUGGGAAGUUUCAAGUUCCAGGCGGUCUGCAUUCCCUUCUCCCCCUUCACACACUUAACCCUACCUUGUCUGGUCAAGAGAGAUCCAGACAAAAUCAACCUUCUGCGUCAACAGCCGCGUCCGGCUGCCUCAGAGGCACAGAGUCUGUUCCUGGCUUCACCUGGCUUUCGCCAUAAACUGGAACGAGCGGCCAAGACCCUGGAUGCUGCUGCGGCUUUGCAAGGGUCGUCAACCCCAGAAGGGCAGGAACGGCACCCGGCUGGGAGUCUGCAAGUGUGUGUGGAGUGUGACAUUCAUCUCACAUGCACAGAGCACACAGGGAGUAAACAAUUCUCAUCCUCUGGUA
ensembl:lncRNA novel transcript